UACGGAGGGUGCAAGCGUUAUCCGGAUUCACUGGGUUGAAAGGGUGCGUAGGAGGGCAGGUAAGUCAGUGGUGAAAUCUCCGAGCUUAACUUGGAAACUGCCGUUGAUACUAUCUGCCUUGAAUAUUGUGGAGGUGAGCGGAAUAUGUCAUGUAGCGGUGAAAUGCUUAGAUAUGACAUAGAACACCAAUUGCGAAGGCAGCUCGCUACACAUAUAUUGACUCUGAGGCACGAAAGCGUGGUGAUCAAACAGG
rnacentral:rRNA from 1 species